GAGGGCUGUGAUGGCUGCUAAUUGAAAUUCAGCUGUUAUUUUGGCUGUUUUUUUUUCCAGAGAACAUAACUAGGAAGACAUUCCAAAAAGGACUGCGUGGUAUUUAGAGGUCUGGGUACCAGCUGUAAUGUGCACAUACUUGCAGAGACUUCUGUUCUGCUAAAGCUGUGGACUCAGGAUCCUUAAUCAAAGUGGUGGCUCAGAAGCAGACUGUUCAGUCUCCAGUGACUCAGACGAGAAGUGCAGUGGCAAACACCUGUCUGGGGUA
rnacentral:lncRNA from 1 species